rnacentral:rRNA from 1 species
GACGAACGCUGCGGCGUGCCUAAUACAUGCAAGUAGGACGCAGUUGCGAACGGGUGAGUAACGCGUAGGUAACUACCUAUUAGAGGGGGAUAACUAUUGGAAACGAUAGCUAAUACCGCAUACUAGUAGAUGGACCUGCGUUGUAUUAGCUAGUAGGUAGGGUAAAGGCAUACCUAGGCAACGAUACAUAGCCGACGUGAGAGAGGGAGUGGCCACACUGGGACUGAGACACGGCCCAGACUCAGAAGGGAGGCUGCAGUAGGGAGGCGUCGGCAAUGGGGGGAACCCUAACCGAGCAACGACGCGUGAGUGAAGAAGGUUUUCGGGUCGUAAAGCUGUGUUGUUAAGGAAGCAGUACUUAGCCAGAAAGGGACGGCUAACUACGUGCCGGCAGCCGCGGUAAUAC